UAGAUAAACCGGACCAACCGAAAAUCAAACGUGAAGAGGGUAAGCGAUAUGUAUGUAAAGAUCAAGAUUUAGCAGUACAGAAUAUUUUUAUAUACGGUACAGGAGGAUAUUUUAUAUUUUCUUUUUUGAAUGGUUUAAUUGUGGAUUAUUUUGGAUCACGAAUUAGUAUGUUAAUAGGACAUAGUUUAAAUUUGUUAGGAUGGAUACUUUUAUUAAAUUCGAGUGAACAUUUUGAUUGUUUUAUACUUGCAGGUGUACUUAUAGCAGCUAGUGUUGAUUUAGGUUCAUUUGCUACAUUAAAUAUUGCAGGUUUAUACCCAGGUAAUGAAAAUUUAAUUGUUAAUAUUGUAUCUGGUGCAGGUUCCUUAUCUUGUGGUACUUUAGUAGUAUUAGAAAUAAUAAUAAGAAAAUGUAAUUUUACAUUUAGAACGUUUAUGUUAGUUUAUAUAUGUUUAACUGUUGGAAUUUUUUUUUUAUUAACUUUAUUUAUAUUUCCGAAAACAAGAUAUUUUAGACAAUACGAGUUUGAUAAUUAUUAUGAAAAUUAUGACAAUGAAUUAAAAAAUAUGAAUAACGCUCAAGAAAUUAAAUCCAAUGCAAGUAUUUCUAAAACUUUAAGUCUUACAAAAAAUCCAAACAAAUAUACAAAUUAUGAAAUGAAUAAAAUUAAUAGGGGUUUAUCAAACGAUUUAGAAAUUAAUGAUAACAAAAAAAUAAAUGACUUUCAUGGAAGUUUUGAUAAAAAUAAACAGAAUAAAUUUAUAGCUUUUUUUAAAUCAACUAGUUUUAAAGAUUUAUUAAAAAUAUGUACCUGUGCACACUUUUUAUGUUUACUUAUAUACGGACCAUUAAAUGCAAUAUAUAACACAUUUUAUUAUAGUGCAGUUGAAGAUAUUUUAUCAAAAGAUAAAAGCGAUUUAUUUGGAUAUUUAUUACCAUUUUCUUUUAUACCAUGUGUUAUCUUAGGAAAUAUAACAGAUAAAUUAGGUGUAAUGGUUAUGCUUUCUUAUGAGUUAUUUUUUGCUGCUACUAUGUAUUUAUUUACUUAUAUCAAAGGUGAAUUUUAUCAAUGGAUGUCUGUUAUUUCGAGUAUGUUAUACGCUGCUUGUGCAAAUGGACAAUUAUGGACGUUUGUUUCUUAUACAUUUUGUUCAAAAUAUCAUUCUACUUUAAUUGGUUUACUUAAUUUGGUUAGUGGUUUUGCAUCCUUGACGCGUAAUCCAUUGUUGGCAUGGGCGAAAGAUUCGAAUUUGGAUUUUACAUAUAUUAAUAUGGUCGUUUUAGGUUUAAUUGGAAUUAAUGUUCUUGUAACGAUUGCACUUAGCAUUAUCAGAAAAACAAAAGGACCUAAGGUUAUUUACGGAGAUGAAGAACAAACCGAAUUAUAGAUACAAACAAAAUGUCUACGUCCUUUACACAUGUGUUUAUGGACUCGUGUUUGUACACACUUGUAGAUAUAAGCACAUAUAUGCAUAUAUUUGCAUAUAUACAUAUAUGUGCUUAUA
rnacentral:lncRNA from 1 species